UUGUCACACUUGUCGAAAGGUAAAAUGUAAAACAACAAGUGAUAUAUGUAAUUGCUGCGAUCAGCAUCGUUCUGCGACUGCCUAUGUUUUGUCCCAGUAUACCACUUGCUAAGAAUCCUAACGUUAAGAGACUAAACGUACUAAACCACGUUACUUCGUCAAGUGUCAUUUUGGUUUCACCAUUUUCUGUGUAGAAUUCCGCAAUGAUUAUCGUAGUUACUCCGGCAAAUGUACCAGAAGUAAAUUUUAAUGCAUUUAUCGCCCAUGCAGCAGAAAAUUGUGAUGCAUAACUUCUAAUCUUAUUAAGUUCAGGCACAUGUUUCAAGCUAAUGUUAGCGUUAUUGCUGCAAUGAAGAAAAAUUAAUCUUUAUUAUUUUCUAAAUUCAUUGAAAUAUGUCAUAAUUAUUGCAACAUUACGCACGCGGAGGUUUUUAAAACCUGUACAAUUAUACUUAUGAUUCAACAUUAACGCGCAAAUAAAUAAUUAUGAAAAAAAAACUGACCUAAUUAUUAUUGAUAAAUUAUUUUUCAUUGUAGUGAUAUAAGACUUUGUGUAAAGUUUGGCUAACUCACAGUCAGCGUUGAAAAUAUCACCUGUCAAGAGUUGGCAUUAAAGUUUUCAUUUGACUUUGUUACUCGUAGGAGCACGUCUUUUAUUAUUUGAAAAUGCUACAAAAAAAAAUUAAUUUUAUUUAAAGUUAAUUAAAUUAUGUACUUUAUCCAAUGUCGCGCAUAGUAGUUUUUGAGAUUAGAACAAAUGUAGUUUGAAAUUACUAUUAAUUCGACUCUUAUUAAUUUUUAUCAGGUGACAUAAGUAAAGCAUUGGAACAAAAAUAAGCUGCCUAAGAAAUUUCUUUGAAAAAUGUCUACACUUUUUUCGCUUAGUAAUUAUUUAAUUCAUAUUACUAUUUUAAAUACAUUAGAAAACACGUAAAGGCAAAAGCAAAAAUAUAUCUUAUAAAAUUAUAAAAUCGUUAAAUUAAUUUGUUUUGGAUAAGCAGGUAUUGAUGGGAGCCAUGUACACAAUGAAAGUUGAAUAAGAACUUUCAUAAAAUGUUGAUUACAUUUUCGCUGUUUUAUACAAUUCUGAAAUGGAACACUGCUUUGGGAUAAAAGACUGAAGAUUUCGUGAAACCAUCUCCUCUUAUAUAUUAAGACUUUUCAAAUGAACAGCAAAAAAA